rnacentral:piRNA from 1 species
UAGUGGGAUUGCCUUGAACUUGAGUUUGA